CCUCCCUGCGCGUGACAAGAAAGAAGUUAAAAAGUUGCGCGACAAGAUGAGACAAUGGUAUAUUUAGAAAAGAAAAAGAACGAAAAAGAGAGGAUUUUUCAAAAGCGCUUUAUUUCACUCGUUUCUGAGCAUUUUUAUCUUAUUGUGAUAAUUCUGAAAAACGCUAAAUUGAUAUAUCUUCUAUGUCUGUAUACAAAAUCUGUUUACAACGUUAAUAAAUAGAAGUCAUGAAUCAAAUACAUAGAAAGCUCUGUGCCAUUAAAAUUCAAAAGAAGAUAUUCUAUUGCAUGCAAUAAAAUUCGAAGCAAAAUAUUUGUAAAAAUUUGCUAAUAAAAAAAUACAAAGUUUCAAUUUGCAUCAAGUUAUUAAGUUUAAUUAAUUAUGAACAUUGUGAUGACGAUAACAAAUUUACGUGCACGAGUCUUGUGAAUCUUGAAAUAGUUGAUAAAAAGAAAAUAAUUUCGUUUCGUUUUCAAGAGACAAAAAUCUACAAGUUGACUUAGUUCUACUUAGUUCGCUCGAUCUUCGAAGGAAAAGCAUAAUGUAGCAGUAAUCAUAAUUCAUGAUAAUUCAUGAUCACAUAUAACAUUAUCACCGUCUAAUAACAUCAUUAUUUCUCUUACUUUAAUGCUUUUCUCCUCCUAUAACGCAAAUUGUUUUAUUCAUAAAGGAUAUAUAUUUUGUUACUACAUUCAAUCGUUUAUUUCACCAUUAUUAUGCUCUCUGUUUAGUUUCUUCGCAUAUUUGCCACAUACGAGUACAUUUUUCUCUUUUUUAUUUAAGAUAUAUAGUAUAUCAUAUGAAAGAAAAUAAUAUGAAUAUAUUUAUGUAUGGAUGUCGCUCAUUUUCUUUUCCUUUAUUUUCUCAUUAUUAAAUCCUUCUUAACGGACUUUUGUAUCCUAAUGCGCUAUUCUCAACCUCGAUAACAUUACCGUAUUCUUGGAGAAAGGAAGCUUCUCGUCCCGGAAAUUGCAAGAAUGAUAAAAUCGUAAAACAUCAGCUAUAAUGGAAAGGCGUUUGUUCGUGUGCGAUAAACAUUCCCGCGGCUAUCGGAUAUCGCACUUCUUUUCGUUUGCCGCGCCAAGGUGACUGACACUUGAUUCGAAUUAAAGCUUAAUUGCACAUAUGCCCGAGGCAUUCAGUGAAAGCAAAUGUUGGCACGCUAGGCCUUGAAGAAAGUUGAAAAUUACUAUUUGUAAUUUUUUAUUGCAUUAAAAUGGCAUUACAACUUAGAAAGAUAAAUUUUGUUUGUAUUAAAGUAGAAUAUUCAUACGUUUAUAAAAAUGUACCCUUAUAAAAAUGUAAUACUGUCCAGUACUACAUUUUUAUUUUAGGAACAUACAUUGCGUGUGUGAUAUUAAAGUAUUUCUUGAUUUUCUUAAAUAUUAGAUUGUGUGCUGUGAAUAACACAAAAACAAUGAAUGCAAAAAAAAACUAACUAAAAAGAUGUUAUUGAUAAAAGCCGUCUCGCACGAGAUUCGAAAAUUCCUGGAAAUCUCCUUUCCCUGUUCAUUCCUUUUACUCAUUCAUCUUUAAAAAUGUAUACACAUUACAAUUAUAUUUUAUGAAUUUAAAUAACGUGUACUCUCCCCCCCUCCAUAGUGAAUAUGAUUGUAUGUAUUCACGAGUAACAGUCGAGAUGAAACGAGUUGGUGUGGCUAUUACGAAUUCAGACGUCUAAAAGGUUAAUCGAUAUGUCGAUUACAAUAGGUCGAUGACGACAAACGAGCGAGCACUUGCAACAGGUAGUUUAUUUCCACUCAAUUCGUUGCAACGGACAGGUGCGCACUAGUCAAUGAUCAGUCACUAUUCGACUAUUACAGCUAUUACAGCGCAUGUAAAACUGGAAAAAAAUAUACGACACGAUUAUAAAUUCAGUCGUUCGUAUUAAUGCGAACGUGUCAGUCGUUUAAUACGGAUGAUUCUCUUCACUCGCCUCCUCAACUCUACGUUAAUGCGAGACAACGCUUGCGAGUUUCCGAAUAAGACUUAUCUUUUAUCUCGCCAUAUCAGAGAAUUUAUCUAUACAAAUUUAUCGCUGAACAAAAAAACUUUCAUCACUACGAGUGUUUCUUUUGAGUCGCGUGUGACUAGCAGUUCAUUAAAUUGUCACGCCCUCAAACGUAAUCAGAAAUAUACUAUGAUAAAAUGGUGAUAAAAACGCGCACAUUUUAUUCAAAUCUUGUAUAACAAUUAGUUUACGUGUGACUUUUAUAACCCGUUUACGACUUUAUGACGGAGGUUUUAAGAAAUUGAAACUAAAACAUAAAUUUUAAGCCAAACAGAAUUUGAUAAUGUUGAUCUAAGAUCUAAGAAACUUUAAUGAAAAUUAUGGAUUAACAGUUGUGUCGUAUAUCGAUAUUGUUCGAUGACUGUUGUAUAUGACGCUGGCAAUAAAAGAUUGCUCGAGAUAUUCCUAAAGAAUUCCGUAAGAAGUGAGCGUAAUAGUAUCUUCAGUCUUGCCGACAACUCUUUUUCUUAACGAAUUAUUUGUAAUGUUGUUGUAAUACCGUCAAAAAGUACACGGAAACAUUUUCAUCGAUUUUUGUGGCACGCUGUCGAAAAAUCCGUAAAAUGGAAUGUAAUGUACAAUAGAGAAAGAGCGUGUAAUAUUUUCUAUUCCUAAUGGUCACGCGUCUCUAAAUACGUGCAUACGAUUUUCAUGUAUGUACAUACAGACACAUGAGAAUACGUAUAGGGAAGACGGUCAAGUGUCGAUAUGUUUGCGCGCGUACAUGUGUGUGAAACAAAGUCGACUAUUUUCUCCACGUAACUUUCCCACACUUUCCAUGCUUUGCUCUUGCGAUGCUUCAAGGCACACUCAUGCCUGACCGCUUAGCGCCAUUUCUCUUGGAUAGUCGAUAAAUCUCGAUUGGAUAAGCCGCCUAUAAAAUUUCAACUCGGAGAAAGCAGAACUAAAAAACGAACGAUAUUUUCGAUAUUGAUAUUAUUUCAAUAUUAUGCAAUUAAUUUGUAAAUUAAUUAUUAAAUAUUACUCUAUAUUUUUGAAGAUUCAUAUUUUCUUAAUUUUUAUACUUCUAUAUAUACAAUGUAAUACACACACACACACACACACACACAACUAGGUAAAUAUAUCAAGCAUUUUCAAUUCUUGACUGAAAAUCUUUUCUUCCUAAGAGAUUCCUUCAUCUAGAAAAUUGUUUUUUUAUUUUCAUUAAAAUUUAUUAGCAAAUCUUUCGUCCUAUGACAAUGAUCUCACAUCGAUUUCAGGCUGAUAUUAAUCUAUUAAAUCAAUCGAUAUUAUAAAUCUUUCUUUAAAAAACUUUAGAUUUAUUUAUUAAGCGCGGCAUACAAAUUUCCGAUACGUAAGUUAUUCGGCGUCGCAAAUUUGCAAAAACCAAACAAGUUAUUUUUUUAAACAAUCUUAUAACGCUGAUUAUUUCUAUCAGCAGCGUCAUAGCGUUAUAUCGCGAACAAUUUUGUAUCAUGUAUCGGCAAGAAUUAAAUAAAAAACGAGAAGUAUAACUUGGUACAUAGCAGAUAUAAAAUUUCCGCAAGAAUCAAACAAGUCCAGAGACUUUUUAUCUUUUCUCUUAAUAAAAGUUUAUAACUUUGUUCUCUUAUAUCUAUUAUCUAGAGAUCUAGAGAUCUAGAGAUAAAUUACCACAAAUUUAUAUGAUGAAUGGUUUAAAGAUGAGAAACUUUAUUACUUUUUGAAAAUUCAACUCCUCGAAUUUAUUUGGUUUUCAUAGGAAACUUUUUAAUUGUAAAGUAGCAUAUUUAAAUUAAUAUGAUAUUGCAAGAGAUUCAGUCUACCAUGUCACUACAUUGUCUUGACGAAAUAAAAAAAUCAA